rnacentral:misc_RNA from 1 species
GAUGACUUUAGGCAUUUGUCCAAAGGAUACAACUUCAGUUAUUGAAUUAGUACCACUGUAGACAAAACCCUAGCUACCUUUUAAUUUUGUCUGAUCGUGUGUAAAACGUUUACGACAAUAAUGAUUAGCUUAGUUGAAGAUAUCGCGGAUACUGAAAAAUAUAUGACCAGCCUAAAUAAAAUCGGUGUAUGUAAUUUUGUCUUGAAAAGCUAUAAAGUUACUGUGUGGUUAAUGCAGUUUUUCGUUAGUAGAAAAUACAAAAAUCAGGUUCACUCAGUAAGCUUCUUAAAGUGAAAUAUGACAUUCAACAGUACUCAUUAAUUUUGCGAAUCGAAACAGUUAGUGACUUGCCUUAAAUAUAGUCAGUAAAUAAGAAAAAAAAAAGAAAAUGUAAAGGCACAUCAUAUUAUGCAAAGAAGGACUACGUUGCUAUAAUGCAUGCAAACCAUAUCCAAUAAGUAAAAGACGUAGAUGCUAUUUCUAUAUCAAAAGAAACAUAUUCACAUGUUUUAUAUACAAAGAAUCCGUCAGAAAAACCAUACGUGCUAACUGGCAAAUCGGCUCUUCCCAUAAGUAGACGAUGAUCUUGCAGCGUCACGGUAUAAUCCUAAUCUAGUGAUUUCGUUCCCCUUUUCUAAAGCUUUUCUCGUUCGCUGGACUUUACGCCAAACAGACUUCUCCUUUUUAAUAUACCAUAUGUUUCAGUUAACUGAUCGCGCAAUUCAGGCUUAAUAAACGGUAAGCAGUCUAUAUUUCUUUUUCUCUUUCGCUUCAAAAUAGAGCUUUAAUUUAGUUAUUGUGAUCAAAUAGUCUCAAUUAUUCGUCUGCUAUGAAGAAUGUCAAAGCUGUUACGGUUAUCAUAAUUAAAACCACUAACACUGACAAAACUGUUAUUUCUUUUGAUCUCUUGAGCUAACUGAGUAGACUUAAUCACAGCGCAAUUUUCUUUGCUUUCGUGUCAAACGAUUAUGACAAACCAUUGUGGAAACAUUUUGUACAUUAGCAGUUAUUUAUUCUGCGCUUUCAUUAUUUACACCAUUCGCCAAAUUAGACCAUCUUGAAGUGCAAAGUAGUAAAUACAUACGCUUCAUGUCCAACGAGUAACAGUAAGAGUUCAAUGAAAAAGGGGUCUAAUACUUUCCGCUUUCACUAUUUUAUGUUGCAUUUAGGGAAAAAGUUAUGAUGAGUAAACACCAACUAAAAUUGACCACAUAACUUAAUAUUGGUUACAGAUUCACUGGACAAGCACCAGAAGUAAUUUGCAUGUAUAGCAGUGAAAUAGAGACUUGCUAAAAUACAGUUAGUUAGUACUUGCUCACUUAUAUUUGUAAAGUCGUGU